rnacentral:rRNA from 1 species
CCUACGGGUGGCUGCAGUGGGGAAUAUUGGACAAUGGGCGAAAGCCUGAUCCAGCCAUGCCGCGUGUGUGAAGAAGGCCUUCGGGUUGUAAAGCACUUUCAGUGGGGAAGAAAGCCUUGGGGCUAAUACCCUCGAGGAAGGACAUCACCCACAGAAGAAGCACCGGCUAACUCGUGCCAGCAGCCGCGGUAAUACGGAGGGUGCGAGCGUUAAUCGGAAUUACUGGGCGUAAAGCGCGCGUAGGCGGUCUGAUAAGCCGGUUGUGAAAGCCCCGGGCUCAACCUGGGAACGGCAUCCGGAACUGUCAGGCUAGAGUGCAGGAGAGGAAGGUAGAAUUCCCGGUGUAGCGGUGAAAUGCGUAGAGAUCGGGAGGAAUACCAGUGGCGAAGGCGGCCUUCUGGACUGACACUGACGCUGAGGUGCGAAAGCGUGGGUAGCAAACAGGAUUAGAUACCCUUGUAGUC